GCAAAACCAGAAUGUCUAGUCACUUUGACCUACAGCAAGAAGUUAGGAGUAACCAGGGCAGAUGCUCCUGCAAACAGCUGGGCCAGCCCCAGCGCAGCCACUGUGUAGCGGAAUUGCAUUCAAGCCUGUGAAACAAGGAGCAAUCUGGGGAUAAGGAACACAGGAGGGUUUUUCUCUUUCUUUUUCUUUUUCGGUUUUCCAGAAGGACCUGAGACCUGCUCGGCCGGCUGGCAGAAUCUCUUACAAACUUAGCAGAAUCUUUUUGUCCAAAGAAAAGGAUAGCCACUGACUACCUCUGGAGCAGCUGCUGCUGGAAACCAGGCUCAUGGCAACCUACUGGGCUGACUCCCCAUCUUAAGGGACAUGGCAACGGAGAACUCGGUGCUUUCGGGAAAAAGAAAAAAAAAUUAUAAGCUGAGAAGGCAAAGCUGACAGAGGAGUUUCCACUUUUGAGCUUCUUCUGGCUUCUCAGAAGCCCGUGUUGCCCUUGAAGCUAGUUUCCUAGAGUAGGGGAGGUUCCUGGGAGUCUGCAAGCCACCGCAGUUAUCUGGUUAGCGAUCAGAAGGUUCUUGGUGCUGCCCCAGCUGGGAUUCCUUCCAAACCAUGUCUGCACCACCUGUAACUCUUCACUCCACUAGCUUGCCAGAGACCAUCCCAAGCCUGGGGGAAUGUGGGGCGCUGCCAUUCCACAAAGAACCACCAGCCAACCUUGGCUGAAGAAGGACAACCGUGUACAUUGCAAAGGAGUUGGAGCUUCCAGCUAAGGGCACCUAGCCAGGCCUGGUAUGCAAAUCUGGGAUUUGUGCCCAGGGAACCUGCCCCAACUUGCCCAGGAGAGAGCAAGGCCAGAAGAGGAUGGGAAAGGUUCUCAUUCUCCACCUCCCCCAAGCCCCAGCCAGCCCCAGCCAGCCCCAGCCAGCCCCAGCCAGCCCCAGCCAGCCCCAGCCAGCUCCAGCCAGCUUCACCCAGUUUCAGAAGCCUUUGAAGUUCUGGGCCAGGAGGUAUGGCCAGUAUAGAUCUGGGGAUGUUUGUUUGUUGUGAGUUGUUCUAUUUUUCGGUAUCUUGAUCUCUAGAAGACACAAGCUUUGGAAAUAGAAGUCUAGUUCAAUCUUGGCCUUGUACUGGCUUUAUAAGCCAAAGAAAGGUUCUCUGAACCUUUGUGUUAUCUGAAAUUUUUAAUAACCCUAACCUAGAGAAUCAAACCCUCAGCGCUGUUGAAAUUUUAGUCUAGUUAUUAGUUUAGGGGUAAUUGGGUCCCUGCCCACUAGACACCAGAACUCUCACCCUCCCACUUAUGACAGCUAAAACCAAUUUCAGACACUGACAAACUAUUCUCCAAGGGAAGAGACUAAAUUACACCCAGCUGAGAACCAGUUACCUAACUCAAUCUGUAGGUUUGUGUUGCGCACAUUUUAUUGUAAAUCCGGAGUCCGGUUCUUAUGAGCAAAUGCAAGAACACUUGAGGAUUCGUAAUUGGUACUGCAAACUCUUCUCCCCACAUUUCCCCUCUCCCCCACUGCUUCAGCACUCAUCCAAAUCCACAGAUAGCCACUUCCAGGAGCCCUGAGCCUCUCUGGCAUCAAAGUGCAGUGAGUCUGAGCACAAAGCAAGGUGCAAGUUUAUCCCUCAGAAGUAGACAUGAGAGACAGUAACAAGCCAGCUUCCUAGCUCUUCGAUAAGCCCGAGGUGUGUUCUACUCCUUUCAGGAGUAUCCAGUGAGACCACAGUGGGAACUGGCUUCCCAGUCUCACCUUCUGCUCCCCAACUUAUUCCCUAGGCUUGCUUCCCAAAUGCUUUCACAACAUCCUCUGCCAUUCAUGGUUUUUAAAAUAAUAAACUAAGACAUAAAAACUGUACCUCUUAUUUCUAUCAGUAUUUUAUUUCUCAUUCACCAGGUUUCUUAUUAGUUCUUAGCUGGAUUGUAGGGUUUCGAAACUGUAAUGUUUUGUUUUUGUCUUUUAAAUUCUUAUGAUAAGUCAGAAUAACUGAUCUGCUAAAAUGAGGGUCUUAACAGAGGCAGAUAAGAGUCUGAAAUUCUUAUUUCUCAGUUUGACUUAGACCUCAUCUAUCCCUUUCACCCUCACCCAAAACACACACACACAAACUCACACUCAUACAAAGUUGUCAGUUGUUGAUUUACAGGAAUAAGGAUAACAUGACAGCCUCUUUGAAGCAUUGUUUCAAAGGAAAAACCAAAGUUUUUGUUAACAAAAAAGCAUCAUUUUUCUGAAUCCCUAAAAUGAGUUGGGCAUUGAAGGUAUAUUCAAAAUGAUGCCAUGGACCCUUACUGCAAGCUCUCCACUCUCUGGAGAUUAAUGAGCAAGCCCAAGAUUACAGAAGUGUAGCAGAUGCAGAAAAGGUCUACCUUCAUUCACAGAGAUCAGAGAUACCACGUGGAGGAGGUCAGGCUCCAGCAGCCUGAAUUUAGGACCUGCUGGCAUCAACAGGGAAGAGACCUCAGAAACAGCUCCCAGAUUCAGAUAAAUAGAAACAUAGGCACCACGUAGCACACUGUCUUGGGAACUCACAGGUAAUGCCCAGGUUGAAUAUGUGUCUUCGGGAAUCAUCAGGGCCAGCUAAGUGUUGAGAGAGGAAGAUGCAGAGGAAAACAGACUGAGCCAUGAAGCCCCUGCCUAAUGUGCUAUUUUAAGAAGUUUGAUGUGUAUCCUUUAUUGAUAACGUAGGCAGACACCUCUUCAUCUUUCUGUUGCAGUGACUACUCUAGGUCAAAGGUAUUAAUUAUGUGACUCAUGAUUUCAAGGAUUUUAGUCCAUGGUCUCUUGGCUGUACUGCAUCUGGACACAUAGAAUGGUAGGAAAACACAGAGUGGUGAGGCAAUGCCAAGAUGCUCACCUCGCUGCAGUCAGGAAGCAAAGAGAAGCAGAAUGACAGCAUCCAGGGUUCCAACAGCCCCCUCAAAAAACCUCCUUCAUGACCUAACUUCCUCUAGGAUCCACUUCCUUAAGGUUUCACUACCUCCUGAGCAAGUCAUUAGCACAUAGACUCCGAGAGACAUUUAAGAUCCAAAUCGUAACAGUAGCUAAAGAUCUUAAGUGAAAUUCUCUUAGUAAUUUAACAAAUACUAGCAGCUUCUACUGUGUAGAAUCUGUGGUCUUGCGUCCCAGCAUCAUAGCAAGGAAAAAGACACUAGAUUGAUGUCAAAUACGGUCUGGUGUGCUCUUUAGAAGAAAGUUGUAUGACAUCACGGAGUGUGAGAGAGAGGACGAUCCUUACAGUGAUUCAACUCUGCAACCAUCAAGCACUAAGCACCCGGCUAUGCACCGGCUCAUGCAUCAAGAGCAGCCUGUUUGGCUCUCGGGAAAUGACAGUUAUAAGGUAGAAAUGACCUCUGAGACAAAACAUCUUAACAAAUGCCAGAUAUGCUAUCUGAAAAGCAACAGAUUCUCACACAAUGCUAUAUAUCUCUUGAAUUUUGUCAGGAAGGAAGCCUAUUUGGACUCUAUCUCACAAAGUCUUUCACGAAGAAUCAGUCAAAAACGUCCUAACACAGUAGAUAAGUAGGUCUUUUACCAACUGCAACUCUCACUCAGUCAAACUUCCCCCAGUCCUUGAAUAACCUGUUAAUGGUGGUUUACUUAACAAGAAGACCCAUUCUACAACUGCAUUAAUUAUCCCCAGUUCUUCUUCAGUCAUUACAUCAUCUACAUCCCACGCUGAAACCUGAAAGGAUAUGAAUGCUGUCUUUUUUCUCUCUGUUUUAUGAGAGGCUUUCUCAUCGCCAACCCAUGAUAAUAUAAGCCAUGACUUGAGGAAGGUGACCUAACACCACCAGAACUCCCUCCAACUCAACAGGUCCUCUGACAGGGCAAACGGUCUAGCAAAUGCUUUGGAGAAUAUUCACCUACCUGCUUCCUUCUCUUACAUGCUGGCAAGUGUCCCACAGACUCCAUCACUCAACAACACAUCCAAAUGGGGAUCCCUGGUGCUUGUGCCUGCCACCUCUUCAGCAAGAGUUUUUCAUGAAGCCAUCAUUUUGGGAAUGGGCAAAAAAGUCCUCCUGUGUUCUCCCCAGCUCAUUCUCCCUAUUCAUUCCAUCAAGUACAGCUUUGGCCCUCUUAGGCCAUGCUUACAUUGUCACAGAGGAGAAUAGAGUCUUUGUCACAGAUGUUCUUAUCACACUUACCAGCUACAGAGGAAUCUGUAGUCGAGCCUCCUGCUUUGGGAAGGAACGACCAUAAUGAACCUGAAACGGCUGGUUUAUAGUUCAGAACCCUUCAGGACACACACACAGAGGGAACCAUCUUUCCCACCAUGGGCCCUCCCACACACAGCAAAGGAAGACCCUUUGUUCUCUUUGGCCACGAUUCCAAAAUUCAUCAGCCUUCUAAGACUGCAGCCUGCAGGUUCCUUCUCAGAGGUGGGAACCUGCAAGUUGGCAUGCAGUGAACACUCAUGGAGUGAGACUCAAAAUAGAGGUUUAGGUGGAGGUGAAGGCAAAGAGGUUUGAGCAGGAAUAGAAGCCGUGCACCUCCACUCGUCACUGCUCCUUUAGAAGAACUGCAGAAAGAAGGACACCAGUGCGCAUGUUCACGGGCAGGGCUGCUCACUCAGCCCAGUCAGACAACGAACAGCACGUUUCUUUCAAAGAAGAUACCUGGAAAACAACAACCGCAAAAGCAACUUUGUGAAGCCUACCUGUGAGCCAGCUCUCCAGCCCCCACUGGCCAAGGCUGACCCAGACAGUCAAAGUAGCUGCGUGGGAAGAUUCCAGGCGACAGAGGCAUCACGAGGACCGUGUAAAGGUGACCUGGGGGUCUCUCCUCUGCCCUUUUACCCCCAUGUGCUAAAUUAAAGAAGGUGUGUGAGAAACAGAA